rnacentral:rRNA from 1 species
GAUGAACGCUGGCGGCGUGCCUAAUACAUGCAAGUCGAGCGAACAGAUGAGGAGCUUGCUCCUCUGACGUUAGCGGCGGACGGGUGAGUAACACGUGGAUAACCUACCUAUAAGACUGGGAUAACUUCGGGAAACCGGAGCUAAUACCGGAUAAUAUAUUGAACCGCAUGGUUCAAUAGUGAAAGACGGUUUUGCUGUCACUUAUAGAUGGAUCCGCGCCGCAUUAGCUAGUUGGUAAGGUAACGGCUUACCAAGGCAACGAUGCGUAGCCGACCUGAGAGGGGGAUCGGCCACACUGGAACUGAGACACGGACCAGACUCCUAAGGGAGGAAGCAGUAGGGAAUCUUACGCAAUGGGCGAAAGCAUGACGGAGCAACGCCGCGUGAGUGAUGAAGGUCUUCGGAUCGUAAAACUCUGUUAUUAGGGAAGAACAAAUGUGUAAGUAACUAUGCACGUCUUGACGGUACCUAAUCAGAAAGCCACGGCUAACUACGUG